CGCUCGUGACCUGUCGGGAGCUCUGUAGGGAAGGACCCGUCUUUUGUAAUUUCCUACGGUUUCCUAAUAAGGGUGAAAAUGCGGGCACCUCUGAACUUGCAAGCUGGGAGUUCUGAUACAAGUAAACUACAGAAUUUGUUGUUAUUCGGGUUUAUUUGGAGGCUUUUACUUGUCGUUUUUAUGUGUUCUCUUAGUGUGUAAAUUGGAAAAAAGGGUGGCAUCCAUAAAAUGACGACUUUGUAUAUGGAGGCUGGGAUAAGCAGUACCUAGUCUGGCUUGAUGAAAUCAGUGUAAUUUUAGUUUAGAUGAAAUCUAGUUUUCGUUUGCAUUAUCCAGGAGUGGCAUCUGGAGAGGCUCGGUGUAAAAAGCGGUUAAAGAGCUUCCAGGAGUGGUUAAUCCUUUUGUAAGCUAUUUGAAGCCAAAAUGGAAAUCAAGGUAUAUUGGAAGUAAAGUAAGAAUUUAAGCUUCAAAAGGGCGCAGGUUUUGUCCCCGUUUUACAGAUGAUGAAACAGACUGGAAGGUUUCCGACGCGCCGCGGGCCGGGCGGGGCUGCGCCGGCUCCCUCCGGCUCCCUCCGGCCGUCGCCCACCCGCGUCUGUUCCCAUUUCUGCAACCGUGGUUCCCCCUGACUUCUCGUGUGUGUGUUCCUCUCGCGCGCCCUUUUACUUCCUCUGUUUCUUUAACUUCCCCUGUUUUCUUGAUAGUUGAGCCAGCCUUUCCUUCCUCUCCUUUAAAUGCCUCUCCCUUAAAUGGCCGUAAAGAGAAAUAGACCAACUUAAGUUGAUUUUCAUAAGGAUUAUUUUCUUGCUUUAAGGUUUUAUUUUGGGGAGGGGAGUUCAUAGAUAUAAAAUUUCCUCUAGUAAGAGUUGCCUUCCGCUUCCAUAGCUGUUCAGUGAGGGUAGGAGUCUGUGUGUGUGUGUGAAUAGUGAAGAAAAGAGUGUGUGGUGAGCUGUUUAGAAUCAGAAACAGGAGAAAAAUAAUCUAUACAUAAACAAAGAGGUGCUCUAAAUGAUGCCAAACUCAGUUCGAAAUGACAGCGGAGCUGUAGGUUCUGUAAAACUCCGGAAACACGCACUAUUCCCCCUCAGUCCCGGCGCAGGCCUCAGUGAUGCCUUUCCUCAGAGGAUUUGGGGCUUUCCUGGGAUAAACCUGUAGCUUUAGCUGUCCCAGAGGAAGUAAUCACAGGGGCUCUGUGUGAAAUAAAAUAAUGCAUCAGUGUUUCCAGACUACAAGGCCACCCUGUGGGCCUCUCAGUGUGGCAGCACCUGUUCCCAGUUCUGCCAGCGGAUGCUGUUACUCUGGCUCUACACUCGGGGAACCUAAAGCCCGGUGAGUCACUUGCCUGACAUUACAGACCUCCAAGGAGGCCCAGGUUCUGCUGUUUCCAGUGACCUCAUCUCUGAGCAAACAUGUCUGGUGAUAAAGACUAUCAAAUUUAAAAUGAAAAAUAGAAUUCACUACAACAUACUCAUGCCAACUGACUGAAGUAUGCUCUCUUACCACCAAUUUAUCUCUUUGGUGUUUGUCUUAUUCUGCUUGGUGAACAGAAACUUGCAGAAAUUGAUUGGAAACAUAUUUCGUAUUUUGCUAAAGCAUUUGAAAUUACUCCUGAAGUCUGGUUUAUGUUUUAGUUUUACUUGAAAGUUGCUUAGAGAGUAAAUCUUUUUCCCCCAGCUCUAUUUAGAUAGAAUUGACAAGUCACUUUGUAUAAGUGCUGAUUUGAUACAUUUAUAUAUUGCAAAAUAAUUAGCUAACACCUCCACCGUGUCACAUAAUUACCAUUUCUUUUUUGUAGUGAAAAUACUUAAGAUCUACUCUCUUAGCAACAUUCAAGUAUGUAAUGCAGUAUUAUUAGCUAUAAUCACCAUGCUAUACAUUAGAUUCCCCCGAACUUAUUAAUUUUAUAACUGGGAAGUUUGUACCCUUUGACCUCUGUCUCCCCAUUUCUUCCACCCCCCCCAACCCCCCAAACCCCUGGUAACCACCACUCUACUGUCUGUUUGGCUGAGUUUGGCUUUGUUAAGAAGAAAACCACAGCCCAAAAUGGCAUCACUUGUGCCAAAAGCCCAUGAUACCAAACCUAGAUUUAAUACCUGAUCUAAUUGCAGUUUUAACUUUUCCCAGAAAUGUAAUCUUAACCAACCAGUCUGGAAUUUUCUGGUCAGGCAGUAGUAAGGUGAUCUGUUGCAUAGGCCGUCUCCAUCCUCCAGAGGAAGAAGAGGUAAUCUGGGUGGUAAAACCCAUGCCAGUUCCCUCCCCAAGAAGAGGUCCUGGCCCAAACUAACCCUCUCUUUUCAUUUGCUAAUGACUUCCUUGGUCCACCCUUCUUCCUAUAAAAACCAUCCCUUUUGUACAACACCUGGGAGUGCCCUUCUACUUUCUAGAUGGAAUACUGCUCCAUUCAAGAAUUGCUUCAUAAAGUCAAUUAGAGCUUCAGAUUUACUUGGUUGAAUUUUGUUUUUAACAGGUUUUUUAGAUUCCACAGGUAAGUGACAGCACACAGUAUUUGUCUUUCUCUGACUUUCUUCGCUAGCAUCAUGCCCUCAAGUUUCACCCAACUUGUCACAAACUGCAAAAUUUCCUUCUUUCUCAUGGCUGAAUAGUAUUCCUAGAUAGAUAGAUAGGUAUUGGACAUGAAUAAGAAGAUGUGACAUAUAUGUGUCACAUCUUUAUUCAUUCAUCCAUUGAUGGACACUUAGGUUGUUUGCAUAUCUUGGCUCUUGUGAAUAAUGCUGCAGUGAACAUGGGAGUGCAGAUGUCCUCUCAGAUCCUGAUUUCAAUUCCUUUGGCGAUAUUCCCAGAAGUGGGAUUGCUGGACCAUAUGGCAGUUCUAUUUUUAAUUUUUAGGAACCUCCAUACUGUUUUCCCUGUGGCUCUAUCAAUUUGCGUUCCCACCAACAGUGCACAAGAGUACUCUUUUCUUCACACCCUUGCCAACGCUUGUUAUCUGUGGUCUUGUUUUUGGGGGGGGGAGGAGAGGGGGGAGAAGAUUAGCCCUGAGCUAACAUCUGCUGCCAAUUCUCCUCUUUUUGCUUAGGAAGACUGGCCCUGAGCUAACAUCCGUGCGCAUCUUCUUCUAUUUUAUAUGUGGGACACCUACCAUAGCACGGCUUGCCAAGCAGUGCCAUGUCCGCACCCGGGAUCCAAACUGGCGAACCCCGGGCCACCGAAGUGAAACGUGCGCACUUAACCUCUGUGCCACCAGGCUGGCCCCUUUCUUGUCUUUUUGAUGAUUACCAUUCUAACAGGUGUGAGGUGAUAACUUGUGGUUUUGAUUUGCAUUUCUCUAAAGAUCAAUGAUGUGGAGUGCCUUUUCAUGUGCCUGUUAGCCAUUUAUAUGUUGUCUUUGGGAAAAUGUCUAUUCAGGUGCGCGGCCCAUGUUUAAUCGUGUUUGGGUUUUUUUGCUGUUGAGUUAGAUGAAUUCUUUAUAUAUUUUUUAUAUUAACCCCAUAUCAGUUAUAUGAUUUGUGGAUAUUUUCUACCAUUCUGUAGGUUGCCUUUUCAUUUUGUUGGUUGUUUCCUUUGCUGUCCAGAAGCUUUUUAGUUUGAUGUAGUCCUACUUAUUGAUAUUUUUGCUUUUCUUGGCUGUGCCUUUGGUGUCAUAUCCAGGAAAUCUGUCCCAAGACCAAUGUCAAGGAGCUUUGUCCUGUGUUUUCUUCUAGGAGUUUUAUGGAUCUUAUGUUUAAGUCUUUAAUCCAUUUCAAGUUUAUUUUUGUGAGUGGGGUCCAGUUGCAUUUUUCUGAAUGUGGUUAUCUAGUUUUCCCAAUAAAAGAGAUCUUCAGAGUUUUCAACAUAACAGCCACAACAAAUGUGGUAAUUACGUGAGGUGAAGGAUGUGUUAACUACCCUUAUUGUGGUAAACAUUUCACAAUAUAUAUGUGUAUCAGAUCAUCACAGUGUGCACUUUAAACUUACACAAUGUUAUUUGUCAAUUAUGUCUCAAUAAAGCUGGGGAAAAGAAAGAAAACAAAAAAAGGAUUGUUGAUUUCAGUGACAUUUGGUAGCUGGAUAGGGAAAACAGAAAAAGUGAUACACUCCAUGAUCUUCAAUCCAAACAUUUAUGUUAGGAUAACUUAUCCCAUAAUGUCUGUGUAACGCUGUAAGUCUACCUGAAAUCUACAAUUCAGAGAAACACUAUAAUUCUAUAUUAUUUUUUCCCCCCAAAAUUCUACCUUGUAGGGUGGUGAUUCUUUAACUUUUAUAUCUUGUGCCUUACCAUGAAGUUGGGAACCUGGAUCUCACAACAGUAGAGUUGUUAGUGCUGCCUAAAUAGCUAAGAUAAAUACAGCCAGUGGUUAACACAGGUUAGCAUAAGAGAAACCAUCUUAUAGAGGGGAACUACAUUGGGACUAUAACAAGACUCCCCCUUUUCCUCGUUAGCAAUGCUCUAGUUUGCACGUAGUUUAGAGAAGUACACAUCUGCUUGCUCUGCUAUUUUUGUAGCCUUGGCUUAUACAUAGACCUCCCUGUUCCGAUAAGGCAAUCACUUUGUUCUUUCAGCUUUCCUAGGGAUGUAAUGACCUUCGGGAAAAAAAACCUCUGCUAUCUGUCCCUGGUGAAGAGAGAAAGGGAUGCUCUGUGGUCUCAAGGACUACAGCUCCAGAUGGUCAACGUCCCGAGACCUCCCCUUUUCCAGCCCAUUUGCCCUAUAAAACUGCCUCACAAUUUUGUAGUUUUAAGAUGGUUCUUUAGGACACGAGUCCACCAUCUUCUCCCUUGCUGGCAGGGUGUAAUAAAAAGGCCUUUUCUCUCCUACCACCUUGCCUCCUGACUGUUGGCCUGUCUAGUGGUGAGUAGAGGACCCUCUUUGGGGGUUACAGAAACACAAAGCUUGCUUACCCCAAAGAACUUUUUAUCUAUAGGAUUUUAUUAUUAUUCUUACCUUAUAUAGUGUUUUGAGGACAAAAAAAAAAAGCGAGAGCAUUGUUGGGAGUUUUAUUUUUGUGGCUUAAAAGUAAUGAUCGUAUUAGUCUUUAAAAUGGCAGCAAUAGUGUUGACAUUUUUACUGCUAGAACUGUAAAACAUACAGAUAUGAAUAAUCUCAUCACCAAAAAAGUUGUGCUAAUCAAGUCUUUUAUUGGGAAGCUUGAGGAUACAUUUUACUAACACCUGCAUUCAUGGGACAAAGUUUGAAAGGCAGGCUUGAAGAGCAAGAUUUGCUAACUUUAUCCUGUCCUACAACAAAGUUAGAAGCUCUCACAAUUGACAAGCAGUCUGAACAGAAGCAUUAGCAAGGCUAGUCGGUGGGCUUUAUGUGUUUCGUUGCUCUGAGGCUAUAAUAGAAAACAUCAAAUGGGACAAUAUGUAUGUUAAAAGACUGCUUCAGCUUGUGUGGAAAAACUUUUAUCCAAAGUAGUGUGAACUUCUGUUCUGCAGAUGCCUGGAGUAUUUUUGAAUAAUGAAUUUAUCCAUUUAUGUUGAUUUGUCUUUGACCUUCAUACUCUGUUACGGUUACUACUGCCGCAUAAUAAAUUGAUCCAAAUCUAGCAUCUUGAAACCACCAUUUCAUUGUCUUCACGGAUUUUGUGGGUCAGGACUUCAGACUGGGCACAGCGGGGAUGGUGGCUCUCUCCCCCUCCAGGUCUCAGGUCUCCUCCCUGGGGCUGGGCUGGCUCAGAAGCCAGGACUGCUGACAGGAGCGACUGCACUUGGCUUCUUCAUCUUCUCGGCUUCCUUACAGCUGGUGUUCUCAGGGUCAUCAGACGUUCACGGGGCAGCUCAGGACUCACGGCUUGAGUGUUCUAAUGCAUGAGGCAGAAGCUGCACUGCCUUUUUUUUUUUUUUAAAGAUUUUAUUUUUUUCCUUUUUCUCCCCAAAGCCCCCCAGUACAUAGUUGUAUAUUCUUCGCUGUGGGCCCCUCCAGCUGCGGCAUGUGAGACGCUGCCCCAGCGUGGUCCGAUGAGCAGUGCCAUGUCCGUGCCCAGGACUCGAACCAAUGAAACACUGGGCUGCCUGCAGCGGAACGCGCAAACUCAACCACUCGGCCACGGGGCCAGCCCCUGCACUGCCUUUUAUGACCCAGCCUCCCUAUUGUGUCCACUGUAUUGGUUGAAGGGGUCAUAAACCAGCCCUGAUUCAAGAAGUGUGCCCACAGCAACUUCCCCCCACCCCAAGGGGGAGAGCAAUGUCAGAAGACUUGGGGCCAUAUGCUGAGACUCCCACUUACUCUAUAUCCGACUCUCUCUCACUCAGAUCCAACUCUAAAAGAAUCUUCCUGGGCUGGCCCGGUGGCGCAGCGGUUAAGUGUGCAUGUUCUGCUUCGGUGGCCCGGGGUUCACCAGUUUGGAUCCCGGGUGCAGACAUGGCACCGCUUGGCAAGCCAUGCUGUGGUAGGCGUCCCACAUAUAAAGUAGAGGAAGAUGGGCAUGGAUGUGAGCUCAGGGCCAGCCUUCCUCAGCAAAAAGAGGAGGAUUGGCAGCAGAUGUUAGCUCAGGGCUAAUCUUCCUCGGAAAAAAAAGAAUUUCCCUUUAGAUAUUUUCUCAAAGUGAAUACAACAUGUUCAUAAAAUCCCCUACAUGAGGUCUUAAGGCCACUGAAACCACCAUGUAAUGAUCUUUCUUUCUCAGGGGAAGCAGAUGGAAUUAUCAGACUGUGCCUACUGUUUUUAAACAAGGCUUGCCAAUAUCUGUGCCUGCUUCCAAGAGCUGGGCUGUACUUCUGCAGUGAGGGAGAGAACAUGUAAUCGUCCCUUGUGAAGAGAUCAGCUCUUUCAUUUAGGAAUCGUGCUUCUUGCUUUCAGGGUUUGUUCUCUGAAUAGACAUGUCCCUGCAGCUGGUCUGACUGAGCAGGAGCUUGUCUGUUAGAAUCUCAAUAAAAAUGGUGAAAGCGUGCCUGAGGGCCUGGAUUAGGGUGAAGCAAGCAAGGCACUUGCUCCAGUGGCAAGAUUUAAGGAGGCAUCAAAAAGCUCAGUAAUCAAGACAAAUAUUUUAAUGCAGUAUUUUAAAAAAUUAAAAUUAAUGCCAAGCAAUCCAGAAUAAAACAUCAAAAUUUUAAAUAAAGGCAGUGUAUUACUUUCCUAGGGCUGCUGUAACAAAGUACCAUAAACUGAGUGGCUUAAAACAGAAAUGUAUGGUCUCCCAGUUCUGGGGGCUGGAGGCCCUCAGGGAGAACCCUGUGCCUCUCUCCUUGCUGCUGGCAGUGGUGGCCGCAGUCUUUGGUGUUCCUGGGCUAGUAGCUGCAUCAUUGCAGUCUCUGCCUCCAUCUUCACAUCUGUGCCCAUCUUUUUCUAUUUUGUAUGUGGGAUGCUGCCACAGCAUCACUGAUGAGCCAUGUGUAGGUCCAUGCCUGGAAUCCAAACCCAUGAACCCCAGGCUGCUGAAGCAGAGCAUGCGAACUUAACCGCUACACCACAGGGCGGCCUUUCUUCUCUUCUUAUAAGGACAUCAGUCAUUGGAUUUAGCAUCUAUCUUAAUCUGGUAUGAUCUCACUUUAUUUCCAAACAAGGUCACAUUCUGAGGCUCCGGAUGGACACGAAUUUUGGGGAGAUACUAUUUAACAGUACAGACAGGAUGAGUAUUACUGGUUUUUUCUUUUGCCUCAAGAUCCAGUAUGGCUCAGCUUGGCGUCCCCUAUUUUAGCACUAGCAUGGGCCUGCCACUGCCAGGUGAGCUGCUAUUACAUCAGCUCUGGGGCCCGAGACUGAGAAGGCUGCACUGUACGUUCUUGCUGAGAAGUUUCACCCACUCUCCUUCAGCUUCCACAGACCUGUAUGAUGACUCUGAAAUCUCUCUUUCCAGACUCAUCACCCUCCUGAGUCCUAGACUCCUUUUCUAGUGCCUCCUGGACAUCCCAACCUGUUAGCCUGCAGGCAUCUCAAAUUUCACUUGCAUCUCACUGAGCUUUUGUGUCUUCUUGCCCUUUAUUGGCAUGAUCACCCCUCUGCCCCCACGACACAAGUGCUUGAGAGUCAUUCUUGACUCUGGUCUCUCACUCUCCCCCAGCAUCUCUCUUCCACCUCAGGGAUGAUUCUGGAUCAUCAUCCUCUGCAGUAGUUCACAGGUCUUUGUCAGGGGGUAUCAGCCUGGACAUGGAGAUGUUCCUAUAGAAUACUAUAUUGAUCAUGGUCUGCUUGGAAAAUAAGAAGUAGUGUUGUGACUUUGUUACAGGUUUAGAUACUAGGCAUAUUUUGGCUCUAAAAGUACAAUGAAGGGUAUUGAUAAUUUUGUAGUUGUCAGCAUGACUUGGACAUUGUUUUGAUGUUUGGUAUUGCUAACCUUGGUCAUCCUAAGCAAAUUCCUUCUAUUCUCUCUCAUCUGUAAGUGUUCCCUUCACCUCCUUGCUCUCAUAGAAACUCCACUCUCCCUGGGGGCACUGCUCCCUCCAGGGCCCCCAGCUUGGCAGUUCACAGGCCUCCUGCCACCUCUGCCCCUGGAGGCAGGGUGGAUGUCUCCUUUCUCCUCCUGGUUACUUCCAGACCAGUUCUCCUCCUCUCUACCCCUACACCUGUUUUUAGUCUUAUGUUAUCAGACUGUACCACAUUCUGCUCACCCAUAGUGCAGUCAUAUAUGGACCCCUCAUUUUUCGAAGAUUCUUAUCUCCAGGCUCACUGCCACUCUCUGAAGCAACUCCUGAUUUCAGUAUCCAAGUGGAUGAUCUUCUAAUAGCCAGGCCUCAUGGUUCCUUUGUUACGGAACCAAAGUGGGUCCACUUCUUGGGGAGUUGAAAUUAGAGCCUUCACCAGAAGUAGUUGUCACACACAGUUUAUUUGCUGCAAAUAAGGAGCCUACAGGGAAUUAUUUCUCAAAGCAUGGCUCCCCAAGCAUAGGACAGCAGGGGCCUUUUAUUUGGGAUGGGGAACGAAUAUUCAAAAGGGAGAGAUGGGUAUUAGCUUGCGCAGGCUCAGUUGAAAAACAUGCUUCCACAUACGUGGCAUGUUAUGGUAGUAAGGCUUAGUCUCCUCUUGGGGUGGAGACUUUAGUAUUAAAAUGAAGCAAAGGGCAACUUUAGGUCUUCUCUCAGCUCACCCGUGCAGUGCUGCUCCUGAGGUGAGGCUCGGUCUGCUUCCGGGUGGUGGGUGACCGCAUGUCUUAACAACAACAAACAAUUUGGAGAAACAGUUAAAUGCUGCUGAAACCUCCCUGGAGUUCCUCAGGGCAAUUAGUCACACUUAGUGACACCUUGACUCCCCCUCCUCCAGGGGAGUAGCCGUGUCCUCUCCCCUGUAACAGCCACUCAGCUCCCAGGGGCCUGCUCUAAACUUUGUUAUACUACCUCCUCUCCUUCCCCCUCCGUCUCGUUCUGCCACCUCCAAUCUUGGCAGCCAGCUCCUUCUAGCAGUUCUUUUCACCUCGCUUGUAGUCUCACCCUUCUGCUUACCUGGUUUAAACUCCAUGAUCAGUCAUUAUAGUCACUCCUUGCAUAACUCUCAGCUCCUAAUCUAAACUCACUCAGCAUAACAUAGCGCCAACUGGGCUUGCUCUAAAUGCAUGAGCCCACCCCCAGGUGGAGCUAUUCUGUCUGACAACCACACAUGUGCCUGGAACGUUUGCCCUCUCUGGAUAACAUGCACACUCUCCUAGGUAACUAGUUUUCACACCUGCCCUUAUUUCUUCGAACCUCCAGUGCCUCUCCCAUCCUAACUCCUUCAGUUUUCCUAAGAAAACAACAAGUGAUCUGAAUGAACAGAACUUCCAGCUCUCAUCACUAUGGCACCCACCAUCCGCCACUGGGCAGAGUAUCGACUCUGUUUUCCUGCCUGUUUCUCCUGUGGGUGGACUGUCUAUGUUUCUAGCUAAGGGUGCCCCCUUUUCCUGUGCCCAAGAUCAGUUAUCAAUCAGUUCAUACAGUGGUCAAUCAAUGGAUUAUUUUCAUCAGUAUACAACUGUAUUCUGCCUAAUUAAAAAACACAUUUCUCACAUCUCUUCCAGCUGCUACUCCAUUUUUGGGCUCUCCAUAGCAAACACCUCGACAUUCCUCCACCUCCUCUCAUUCCAUUCUUUCAUGGAUCCAUUCAAGUUGGGUCUCGCCCUUGCCAUGCCACCAAACCUGUUCUUCUCAAGGUCAGCAUGGCCUCCGUGUAAUGGUUAAUUCUCACACCUCACCUUUCUUGACCUACCAGCACCUAUGACACAGUGGCCUCCGAACUGGCUUCCCUGCUUGUACCCAUGUUUCUCUGUAGUCUAUUCUCAACACACAAGCCACAGUGAUCCUUUUAACGCCUAAAUUAGCUCAUUUCAUUCCUUUACUCAAUAAAUUCAGGAUAGAAGCCAAAAUCCAUACCACGUCCUAAAAGCUCCCCUGAACUGACCUCUCAGGAACUCUGGAAACUUCUCCUGCUGUUCCUUCCCUGGCCACUCCCCUCCACCCACGCUGGCUUCCCAGAUGUUCUUCUGACAGACCUGGGUGUGCUUCCCCUCAGGACGUUUCUGCAGGCAGUUUGCUCUGCCUGAAGGCUCGCCACUGUUCUUCUCUGCCCCUUCCCUCCCUCCUUCCACAUCCACCGCCAGAAUGUCACCCCGAAAGGUGGGGAGGCUGGUCUCUUCAUUUUCUGCCGUAAUCUCAGUGCUGAGGACAGUGUAAGGACUGUGUCCCACACAUCAUGGGCCCUCAUCCAGUAUUUGCUGAAUGACUGGAAGAGUGUCAUGCUUUGUCCUGACCCUGUGCCUUCCAGCAUGUUUUAUUGCCUUGGCCUGGAGUGCCCUUCCUCCCACCUGGAAAGUAUUCAUUUCUUUAGACCCACCUUUUUUGGUGAAAAAUCUUUUUCCCUAGGCAGUCUCUCUUUAUCACCCGUGCUUUCAAAUAUACUUAACCACAAUACUUUUAUUAUACUUAGGAAAUUUAACAUUGACACAAAAAUAUUUUCUAAUACAUAGUCCCUACUCAAAUUUCCCCAACUGUUCCAGUGAUGUCUUUAAAAAACUUUAAAUUGAAGAUUUAAUCAAGGGUCACACAUUAUCUUGUUUCUAAAAUUUGCUUAGUUUUUAAUGUAUCUUAUCACUAAUUCAUACCCACAAUUCCCAGGACAAGAGUAGAAUCCCCUCUCAGCAAGGUCAAAUAAAUGAGAAAAUCUAUUCUAUUUUUCUCUUGGAGACGCCCCUCCCAAAGGUCUCCAUCCAAACAGAGUUCUGUGCUAUAGGUCUGCCACACAGCUUCCUCUUGCGCUUCCCUUCACCAUGUUGAUGCAAAUAAUCCAUAAUCAAUCUAUACGUCAAAAUUGGGGUGAGUUUAUUAUGAGCCAAGCUUGAGGACUGGAGCUUGGGGCCUUCCUUCCCCAAGGAAGAAAGGGCACCAAAGAAGUGGGGUGUACCAAAUGGUUAUAUAGCAUCUUGGAACAAAGAGUAUACAUCACUUAUGACAGAAUACCUGUUUUACUACUGUCACGAGAUGCUUGGCUGGCACAGCAGGUCGGUGGUCACAAGUUGGAUUCCAUGUGUACUGGAUCCCAGCUCUCCCUCUGUUUUGGCUUACUACCUUAUCUUGGUAGAAAGCAUCCUCCAGUAGCUUCUUAUGGAAGAGUGCAUUGAAGAUGUCGCCGCAUGUUUUCCCUUAGAAGAGGACUUCCUCGUCACGUAACUAGUUCAAUAUGCCGCACUCUGUCCUGGGAAUGGAUGUUCCACCCGUCAAAGCGACUCGAUGUGGAUGAGCUGAUCACACACGACCACACCUUCAGGGCAAAUGUCCCUGGGUAUCAAUAAAGCUCUGCAUACCGAAAAGGGUGUAAAUUCCAGACCCCGCCCAGAUGAACCGGGUCUAAAGUUACAAAUAACAUGUAUCGUGGCCAAGUUCAUCGACAGGAACUGUUUCCGCAAGAAAGAUGCUGAUCAAAACAGAGUUGAACAGAAGACGGAGUAGAAGAAAGGGAAAAUGAAUGAUUCAGUUAUUGCUAACUCGUAGGAUAUAAAUAUUUGGCUUAUUUCCCAGGGAAGAAAAUGAUGAUAUCAAAGAAAUUCUGAAGGAAAUCGUGACAAUCAGUGUUUUCCACCCAAUGGGAAGAGAAAGUAGAUAUCACUUCUAGUUUCUAGGAAGCUGUGUCUUUUGGGGCUGCCAUGAAAAAAUACCACAGAUUGGCCUAAACAACACAAAUUUAUUUUCGCUCAGUUCUGGAGGCUGGAAGUCCAAGAUCAAGAUGCCAGUAGAUUUGGUUCCAGCAUAAUAUACAGAAAUGCUGAACAUUCCAUUCAACCACGUGGGACAAACUGGGAAUUCCUGAGGAUUAAAUUUCAGCAUGAGGAAUGAGAAAAUUCCAUACAAUUAAGAGGAGACAGGAAGAAGGAAAUGGCAGACCAGAGGUGACAUCACAUUUGAGGUGUGAUCAACAUCAUUGGUCAGCACCGAGGGGGGACAUUCCAGACAGUUCUGGAGAGCUGGACCUGAGGUCGGAGAGCAAUCUUGUAAGCAGAGAAGAAAGGAGCAUCAAACAGUGCCUAUUUUGGGGACCUUGACCGUCCAGUAAAUCGCAUCAUAGUACACCCACCGUUACAACGUUUUACAUUUGCAUAACAGUUUUGGUCUAAGAAUCUUGGAGAUUUUUCAAGAAACAGCAUUGCUAUUAUAGUUCUGUUUUAAUAUAAGUGGAAAUAGUGAAUCACAGGAUUAAAGUAACUUUUCAAGGCAUUGUUUAGUGCUAGAUGAGGCUGUUAGUUGGUAAGAAGUAUAAAAAUCAAGAAGAAAUGUACAUGAAUCUAACGACAUUGGCCAAAAUAAAGCAGAAUUGUGAUCCCAACAAGUUUUCACCUUCUUCAUUUUUUGCCUCUUUCCACUUCCCAACGACUCAGAAUUCUUAGAUCUCUUUAAACCUGCUCUUAGGAAUCUUCUAGAAUCAGAUUUGUGAAUUUCAACCAGUAUGUUGCCUCUUCCAGAGGUAUUUAUAUUUUAAGCCUUUUCUUUUUUUGUGAAAGAUAGGGUUGUCCUCAGUAAAAGGAAUUUCAAAUCAAAAGAGGGUGACAGAGAACCUUUUUGGAAGUAGAGAGUCCUUUCUAGCACAGUUCUGCUUGCUUCAUCUGUAAGUAUCGAUGGUUUUUGCCUGUAAAUAUUUCUUUAUAUGAGUAAGAUAUAAAAAGUCAGAGAGAG
rnacentral:lncRNA from 1 species